rnacentral:lncRNA from 1 species
UAGUUCUUCUUAUUUUGUUGUUGUCUUCUUCCCCAUCUUCAUUUUCGUCCAAUCCUUCAUUUUCAUUUUCGUUUUCUUCUUCUUUUUCUUUUUUCUUCAAACAAGGCUGGUGUUAAUGCCAAAUAGAGAUUAAGUUGUGAAGUUUGAAAUUAAGAGUGAUACCAUUCUUGAAUCUCCAGUAAAGAGAAGAACCACACACCAUUAAAGCUGAUAUCAUUGCAAACAAAACCAAACUCCAUCUUAACCAUGAUGAUGAUGAAUCAGAUCUCCCUCUUGAC